rnacentral:misc_RNA from 1 species
GGUAGGAUCAUUGUCAAUUAAAACGUCAUGCGUAUGUGCGCAAUUGUGUGUAUAUGUGUGUACGUCAAUGGUUUACCCCCCACUUUAAACAAACACACCAAAUCUUUUAAUUUAAUUUUGUAUAAUGAAUAUGUACACUGAUUUAUCAAUGGAUCUCUUGGCUCUUGUAGCGAUGACGAACGUGGCGAAUCGCGAAAUGUCAGAUAAACUGCAGGUAAUUGUGAAUCUGGUAAUUUUUGAAUGCACUUUGCGCAAACACUCUAGUGUUUGCACAUUUAUGUGAGUUGCACCAAUAUCUUCUCGUGUCACGCAAACCCUUGUAUGACAUGAAUAUUGCGUAGAAUAUCGAGGUUACAGUGUAAACUCGAGGUUCCACGUUAAAUGACAAUUGACGUGCUAUUGUGAGAGUAGACGCGCAUGUGUGUAUACGCGUAUGCGUGCGCUCGACUCGACAGUACAAACCCAACCCAAUAUUGCAAUCACAUUAAAUGAGACUACCCACUAAACUUAAGCAUAUCAAUUAGUGGAGGAAAAGAAACUAACAAGGAUUACGCUAGUAACGGCGAGUGAAGACGUAAAAGCCCGGCAUGAAAAGCUAUACCGCAAGGUAUCGCGUUGUAAUUGAAUUAAUGCUUGCCGCAAUUGCGCUUUGCCAAGGCGUUUGAAUGCGCUGCUGGAAAAGGUGAAAGCCCUGUAGAUGCAGAGCCGCAUUGCGUGCAAAUAUUUAUUCGGCCGAGUCGUGUUGCUUGGGAGUGCAGCGCAAAUACGGGUGGUAAAUACCAUUCAAGGCUAAAUACCGACAAGAGACCGAUAGCGAACAAGUACCGUGAGGGAAAGAUGAAAAGCACUCUGAAUAGAGGGUGACAUAGUACGUGAAAUUGAUAAAUUAGAAACCCGUAGACGGGCGCAAAAAGCGCACACUAGUAGAGCGAGUAUGCAUGUGCGAGCAUAUGACACUAGUCGCGCAGCAAUGUGCGGUCUAUUGUCUGGCCCGCAACAUGAAAUAUGCGCGCUACUCGUAUGCGAGGCGCUUGUUUACGGACCCGUCUUGAAACACGGACCAAGGAGUUUAUUUCAUGCGCAAGUCGUAGGCCGGCAAGGCUGAGCGGCGCAGUUGACGCAACAAACAAGGAUAUGUGCGUGAAGCGUGCAUGGCACUUGUGACAGUACUAAUCUUGCGGACGCGAGUCCAAUUAUUAGUGCUAGUUUAGAGCGCAUGGAGUGAGACCCGAAAGAUGGUGAACUAUGCUUGAGCAGGAUGACGCCAGUGGAAACGCUGGUUAAAGUCCGUCGCGGUUCUGACGUGCAAAUCGAUCGUUUGACUUGAGUAUAGGGGCGAAAGACUAAUCGAACCAUCUAGUAGCUGGUUUCUUC